GAUCUAAAUAUCGAGAACUGUUGCUGGUGCUCCUUUUUGUGGGCCUUACUGUAGCAAUGAGAGGAGACCGCUCGGAUUUUUACCCGCCUCCUAUUCAUCGAUAAUAUAUUACCAUAGAUUACCAUGAAGAUGAUAUUCCUUGACGUCCAACUACUUUUAUAAAAAGAAAGAUACUUCUACAGAAUUUCUACACAACAGCUCAGCUGCUAAUGUUACUGAAUAAAAUGAUUUCUCCAACUCAUGUGAAAGGUA